UCAGAGAUGGAAGUUUGUAACGACUUCGCGAAGCAUGACACGAAAAAUCUGCGCAUUUAAUGAUUUAUUUUAUUUUCUCUAUUAUUUGGGAUGAUAUUUGUAUAUUUGAUUUUCUAUGCUAACAUACUAUUUUGAUAUUCAAUUAAAUGAUUUUGCCUAAUGAUGAUUUAGGUAAACGAGGAAGCUGAAUGGUAAGAAAAAUUAUAAAAUUUUGAAAUCUUACGAUG
rnacentral:lncRNA from 1 species